rnacentral:misc_RNA from 1 species
UACGUAGGUGGCAAGCGUUGUCCGGAAUUAUUGGGCGUAAAGCGCGUGCAGGCGGUUCGUUAAGUUCAGGGUGAAAGCUCCCGGCUCAACUGGGAGAGGUCCUUGGAUACUGGCGGACUCGAGGGGGGUAGAGGAGAGUGGAAUUCUCGGUGUAGUGGUGAUAUGCGUAGAUAUCGAGAGGAACACCAGUGGCGAAGGCGGCUCUCUGGGCCCUACCUGACGCUGAGACGCGAAAGCGUGGGGAGCGAACAGG